rnacentral:hammerhead_ribozyme from 1 species
GUACUACUGAAGAGUUCCAAACUAGGACGAAACAGUUGUCCAGUAC